GGUUAAGCGACUAAGCGUACACGGUGGAUGCCCUGGCAGUCAGAGGCGAUGAAGGGCGUGCUAAUCUGCGAUAAGCGCCGGUAAGGUGAUAUGAACCGUUAUAACCGGCGAUACCCGAAUGGGGAAACCCAGUGUGAUUCGUCACACUAUCAUUAACUGAAUCCAUAGGUUAAUGAGGCGAACCGGGGGAACUGAAACAUCUAAGUACCCCGAGGAAAAGAAAUCAACCGAGAUUCCCCCAGUAGCGGCGAGCGAACGGGGAGGAGCCCAGAGCCUGAAUCAGCAUGUGUGUUAGUGGAAGCGUCUGGAAAGGCGCGCGAUACAGGGUGACAGCCCCGUACACAAAAGCGCAUGUGCUGUGAGCUCGAUGAGUAGGGCGGGACACGUGGUAUCCUGUCUGAAUAUGGGGGGACCAUCCUCCAAGGCUAAAUACUCCUGACUGACCGAUAGUGAACCAGUACCGUGAGGGAAAGGCGAAAAGAACCCCGGCGAGGGGAGUGAAAAAGAACCUGAAACCGUGUACGUACAAGCAGUGGGAGCACAGGUUUACCUGUGUGACUGCGUACCUUUUGUAUAAUGGGUCAGCGACUUAUAUUCUGUAGCAAGGUUAACCGUAUAGGGGAGCCGAAGGGAAACCGAGUCUUAACCGGGCGUUAAGUUGCAGGGUAUAGACCCGAAACCCGGUGAUCUAGCCAUGGGCAGGUUGAAGGUUGGGUAACACUAACUGGAGGACCGAACCGACUAAUGUUGAAAAAUUAGCGGAUGACCUGUGGCUGGGGGUGAAAGGCCAAUCAAACCGGGAGAUAGCUGGUUCUCCCCGAAAGCUAUUUAGGUAGCGCCUCGUGAAUUCAUCUCCGGGGGUAGAGCACUGUUUCGGCUAGGGGGCCAUCCCGGCUUACCAACCCGAUGCAAACUGCGAAUACCGGAGAAUGUUAUCACGGGAGACACACGGCGGGUGCUAACGUCCGUCGUGAAGAGGGAAACAACCCAGACCGCCAGCUAAGGUCCCAAAGUCAUGGUUAAGUGGGAAACGAUGUGGGAAGGCCCAGACAGCCAGGAUGUUGGCUUAGAAGCAGCCAUCAUUUAAAGAAAGCGUAAUAGCUCACUGGUCGAGUCGGCCUGCGCGGAAGAUGUAACGGGGCUAAACCAUGCACCGAAGCUGCGGCAGCGACGCUGAUGCGUUGUUGGGUAGGGGAGCGUUCUGUAAGCCUGCGAAGGUGGCCUGUGAGGGUUGCUGGAGGUAUCAGAAGUGCGAAUGCUGACAUAAGUAACGAUAAAGCGGGUGAAAAGCCCGCUCGCCGGAAGACCAAGGGUUCCUGUCCAACGUUAAUCGGGGCAGGGUGAGUCGACCCCUAAGGCGAGGCCGAAAGGCGUAGUCGAUGGGAAACGGGUUAAUAUUCCCGUACUUGGUGUUACUGCGAAGGGGGGACGGAGAAGGCUAUGUUGGCCGGGCGACGGUUGUCCCGGUUUAAGCGUGUAGGUGUGUGUUCCAGGUAAAUCCGGUUCACUUUAACACUGAGGCGUGACGACGAGGCACUACGGUGCUGAAGCAACAAAUGCCCUGCUUCCAGGAAAAGCCUCUAAGCAUCAGGUAACAUCAAAUCGUACCCCAAACCGACACAGGUGGUCAGGUAGAGAAUACCAAGGCGCUUGAGAGAACUCGGGUGAAGGAACUAGGCAAAAUGGUGCCGUAACUUCGGGAGAAGGCACGCUGACACGUAGGUGAAGUGAUUUACUCAUGGAGCUGAAGUCAGUCGAAGAUACCAGCUGGCUGCAACUGUUUAUUAAAAACACAGCACUGUGCAAACACGAAAGUGGACGUAUACGGUGUGACGCCUGCCCGGUGCCGGAAGGUUAAUUGAUGGGGUCAGCGCAAGCGAAGCUCCUGAUCGAAGCCCCGGUAAACGGCGGCCGUAACUAUAACGGUCCUAAGGUAGCGAAAUUCCUUGUCGGGUAAGUUCCGACCUGCACGAAUGGCGUAAUGAUGGCCAGGCUGUCUCCACCCGAGACUCAGUGAAAUUGAACUCGCUGUGAAGAUGCAGUGUACCCGCGGCAAGACGGAAAGACCCCGUGAACCUUUACUAUAGCUUGACACUGAACAUUGAGCCUUGAUGUGUAGGAUAGGUGGGAGGCUUUGAAGUGUGGACGCCAGUCUGCAUGGAGCCGACCUUGAAAUACCACCCUUUAAUGUUUGAUGUUCUAACGUGGACCCGUGAUCCGGGUUGCGGACAGUGUCUGGUGGGUAGUUUGACUGGGGCGGUCUCCUCCUAAAGAGUAACGGAGGAGCACGAAGGUUGGCUAAUCCUGGUCGGACAUCAGGAGGUUAGUGCAAUGGCAUAAGCCAGCUUGACUGCGAGCGUGACGGCGCGAGCAGGUGCGAAAGCAGGUCAUAGUGAUCCGGUGGUUCUGAAUGGAAGGGCCAUCGCUCAACGGAUAAAAGGUACUCCGGGGAUAACAGGCUGAUACCGCCCAAGAGUUCAUAUCGACGGCGGUGUUUGGCACCUCGAUGUCGGCUCAUCACAUCCUGGGGCUGAAGUAGGUCCCAAGGGUAUGGCUGUUCGCCAUUUAAAGUGGUACGCGAGCUGGGUUUAGAACGUCGUGAGACAGUUCGGUCCCUAUCUGCCGUGGGCGCUGGAGAACUGAGGGGGGCUGCUCCUAGUACGAGAGGACCGGAGUGGACGCAUCACUGGUGUUCGGGUUGUCAUGCCAAUGGCACUGCCCGGUAGCUAAAUGCGGAAGAGAUAAGUGCUGAAAGCAUCUAAGCACGAAACUUGCCCCGAGAUGAGUUCUCCCUGAGACUUAGAGUCUCCUGAAGGAACGUUGAAGACGACGACGUUGAUAGGCCGGGUGUGUAAGCGCAGCGAUGCGUUGAGCUAACCGGUACUAAUGAACCGUGAGGCUUAACCUU
rnacentral:rRNA from 1 species